rnacentral:rRNA from 1 species
UACGAAGGGGGCUAGCGUUGCUCGGAAUCACUGGGCGUAAAGGGUGCGUAGGCGGGUCUUUAAGUCAGGGGUGAAAUCCUGGAGCUCAACUCCAGAACUGCCUUUGAUACUGAAGAUCUUGAGUUCGGGAGAGGUGAGUGGAAUUCCAGGUGUAGCGGUGAAAUGCGUAGAUAUCUGGAGGAACACCGGUGGCGAAGGCGACAUCCUGGACCGGUAUUGACGCUGAGGCGCGAAAGCCAGGGGAGCAAACGGG